rnacentral:snRNA from 1 species
GAUCUCUGGCUGCUCUGCAUUUACCCGAGAAAAUCUUCCGCCUUUUACUGAAGAUUUCCGUGCAGAAAAGCAGAAAUUUUCUCGGGUAAAAGCAGAGGAGCCAGAGAUCUCUGGCUC